rnacentral:rRNA from 1 species
ACAUUUAAAGUGUGGCUGCAAAUCUGGGAUGCAGGAGGUGAAAAUUCAUUGUCUAAUCUGUUUCUCAGUUUCCUCUUUCAGAAACGAGAGAUUUUUCAAGACCUUGCUCCACUGCUGUGGCACUCCUUUGGCACUGUUGCUGCACUGCUCCAGGAGAUUGUGUCAAUUUACCCUUCACUUUCACCUCCUACUUUGUCGCUAGUUGCAUCAAACCGUGUCUGCAAUGCACUUGCACUUCUUCAGUGUGUUGCUUCACACCCUGAGACCAGGAUCCCGUUCUUGAAUGCUCACAUCCCACUGUACCUGUACCCGUUCCUGAAUACUACCAGCAAGACAAGACCUUUUGCGUACUUGAGGCUUACCAGCUUGGGUGUUAUUGGUGCUCUUGUGAAGGAAUCUCAACAGGAACUGUUAUUUUUGAAGCAAACAGGCUAA